UACAGAGGUGGCAAGCGUUGUUCGGAAUUACUGGGCGUAAAGGGCGCGUAGGCGGCCUUCUAAGUCAGACGUGAAAUCCCCCGGCUUAACCUGGGAACUGCGUCUGAUACUGGGAGGCUUGAGUAUGGGAGAGGGAUGUAGAAUUCCAGGUGUAGCGGUGAAAUGCGUAGAUAUCUGGAGGAACACCGGUGGCGAAGGCGGCAUCCUGGACCGGGAUUGACACUGAGGCGCGAAAGCCAGGGGAGCAAACGGG
rnacentral:rRNA from 1 species